UCCGGUUUGUCACCGGCAGUCAGGCGUGAGUCCCCAACUUAAUGCUGGCAACACGCCACGGGGGUUGCGCUCGUUGCGGGACUUAACCCAACAUCUCACGACACGAGCUGACGACAGCCAUGCACCACCUGUGAUCCUGCCCCGAAGGGAAGCCUUGUUUCCAAGGCGGUCAGGAACAUGUCAAGCCCAGGUAAGGUUCUUCGCGUUGCGUCGAAUUAAACCACAUGCUCCGCUGCUUGUGCGGGCCCCCGCCAAUUCCUUUGAGUUUUAGCCUUGCGGCCGUACUCCCCAGGCGGGGCACUUAAUGCGUUGGCUGCGGCACAGAGGGAUUCGACUCCCCCCACACCUAGUGUUCAUCGUUUACGGCUAGGACUAC
rnacentral:misc_RNA from 1 species